rnacentral:lncRNA from 1 species
AUGGCCACAAGUCCAAGAAGAAGAUCACUGUAUAUUCCUAGACAAAAGUCCUUAGGAAAAUUUCAAACAGGUGAAUGGGCUGGAUUCUCCCCCACUUGGACCUCUGAGUUCCAAACCCUACUAGUGAGUCCCAGUCAUCUGCACCGGUCCAGGUCUGGCCCUCUUAUUCUUCAAUUCAAUCAUUCACAAGUAAAAAAGAACAACGCCGAACUCACCACUGAUUCAGAGCAGUAACACUGACAAUUUACUAUCUCUCUCUGUGCGCUGGUUCACCAAAGAGGCAGCACCCUUGAUCCAAUUAUUCCUUAAUGGGCACUCAUAUUUCCAAAUUAAAUUAAUGCUAGGUUUUGUCUUAUCUCACAUAAGUGGACGAUGCUUCACCUUCUUUAUCUUUAUUUUCUUACAUAACUCUGUAGAGUUCUGUUGACUUUUUGUAACAAUAAUAAUAACCAUCAAAAUUCAUGAAUCAGGAGUUCCCGUCAUGGCGCAGUGGUUAACGAAUCCGACUAGGAACCAUGAGGUUGCGGGUUCGAUCCCUGGCCUUGCUCAGUGGGUUAACGAUCCGGUGUUGCCGUGAGCUGUGGUGUAGGUCACAGAUGUGGCUCAGAUCCCACAUUGCUGUGGCUCUGGCGUAGGCCGGUGGCUACAGCUCCAAUUAGACCCCUAGCCUGGGAAUCUCCAUACGCUGCGGGAGCGGCCCAAGAAAUAGCACAAAGACAAAAAAAAAAAAAAAUUCAUGAAUCACAAAGAGGCAAGAACAAGAUUUUUGUGUGCAUUCCUAGUCUGUCUAGAGGAUCACUUCCAACAGAGGCCGCAGACUAGACGAUGCUGUAUAGUAGCUCAGAGGCAGAUGCAUGUUACCCACUACCCAUGAUUCAUACCCCACCAGUUAUCCCCGACUGGUCCAGGAUUUUCCUUCUUUCUCCUCAUUCAUUUGAACAGUUGUUGAUUUUUCAUUUUUAAGUGGAUUUUUCAUUUAAUAAAAUAUAUUUACUUUAAUCA